rnacentral:rRNA from 1 species
GUUUAAUACUGCCCACUGAUAAAUAUUAAAGGGCUGCAGUAUAUUGACUGUACAAAGGUAGCAUAAUCAUUAGUUUUUUAAUUGGAAACUUGUAUGAAAGAUUUAAUGAAAUAAUAACUGUCUCUAAAUUAUUAAUAGAAUUUUAUUUUUUAGUAAAAAAGCAAAAAUAGAUUUAAAAGACGAGAAGACCCUAUAGAGUUUUAUAUUUAAUUUAUUUUUAAUUAAAUAUAUAAAUUAAUAUAAAAAAUAAAUAAAAUAUUAUAUUGGGGUGAUAGAAAAAUUUAAUUAACUUUUUUUAAAUUAUAACCAUUAAUAAAUGAUUUUUUGAUCCAUAAAUAAUGAUUAAAAGAUAAAAUUACCUUAGGGAUAACAGCGUAAUAUUAUUUUUUAGUUCAAAUAAAAAAUAAAGUUUGCGACCUCGAUGUUGGAUUAAGAUAAAAUUUAAAUGCAAAAGUUUAAAAGUUUGAUCUGUUCGAUCAUUAAAAUCUUACAUGAUCUGAGUUAAACCGGAGG